GGGUGAAAUACUAAUGGAAGCUAAGGAACAUGGGAAAGAAAGGCAGGUGGUUUUCUGUCAUCAAAAGAGUUUUCACACCCAACACUUCCAAGGAUAUGCAAAUUCAUGCAUCAGAGAAGAAAACUUCUAAGGAAAAGAAAAGGAAGAGUACUAAAACAUGAAUGGAGAGAGCAAAUCAUUUAUUCCACUCUUCAGAGACAAGCAGUAUUGAGAAGAUAUUGGCCGGGGGAGGCAGAUGAACAGAGACUACUUAUUCCUUUCUCCUCUGAACAGCCCAGAAUUUCAUCCGGGAUGCCAGCCUCUCCACGGAUCAUUUCACCAAGAGCUACUUCUCCCCAUGAUUAUUCUCAUAGCGCUGUUUCUCCAUGGUGCUCACUCUCCUCCUAAGGUCACCUCUCCAAGGGCUGGCUGCUUCUCUACGAGUUACCUCACCGCGGGUUGCUUCUCUAAGAGUUACCACUCCACAAGCUGCUUCUCAGCGAGCUGCUUCUUCUAAGUCAAACCGGCACUGCAAAGAAGUGAACUAUGUCCAUAGACCAGAACCAACUUUACAAGUGCUUCAUGAUGUCUCAGCAACCAGGAUCCAAGCAGCCUUUAGGGAGGGGUUAUAUGGGAAUCUUCUACUUAACUAAUACUUGGAGUGCACCAUAUUUAGGUUUGGUUCCACUACUCCCCCUUUGUCCCACCCAAUCAACCUACCACUUCAUCUAAAAGUGAAAAACCCUUAAUGGACCAGAAUAGAGAUUUGUCUCCAUAUUAUGAAUUGAGCACCAACUACUUGUUAUAACUAAAUUCACGAUUACCAUGAGCAAUAGGAUUUAUGUGUUUAUAAGUUGAGAGAUUUCCAUGGUCCUUGAACUUAA